UACGUAGGCGGAAAAUUAAGUCAGUAGUGAAAUCCUGCAGCUUAACUGUAGAACUGUUAUUGAUACUGGUUUUCUUGAAUUUAGUUGAGGUAGGCGGAAUGUGUAAUGUAGCGGUGAAAUGCUUAGAUAUUACACAGAACACCGAUUGCGAAGGCAGCUUACUAAGCUAUGAUUGACGCUGAGGUACGAAAGCGUGGGGAGCGAACAGGAUUAGAUACCCUGGUAGUC
rnacentral:rRNA from 1 species